GCAGAGCCCCGACCGGCUCCUGGACGAGACGCGCCGUACCCAGUCAGGACAAGACGACGCCGG
rnacentral:ncRNA from 1 species